UACGUAGGUGGCAAGCGUUGUCCGGAUUUAUUGGGCGUAAAGCGAGCGCAGGCGGUCUUUUAAGUCUGAUGUGAAAGCCCCCGGCUUAACCGGGGAGGGUCAUUGGAAACUGGGAGACUUGAGUGCAGAAGAGGAAAGCGGAACUCCAUGUGUAGCGGUGAAAUGCGUAGAUAUAUGGAGGAACACCAGUGGCGAAGGCGGCUUUCUGGUCUGUAACUGACGCUGAGGCUCGAAAGCGUGGGGAGCAAACAGG
rnacentral:misc_RNA from 1 species